CCUACGGGAGGCAGCAGUGGGGAAUCUUGCGCAAUGGGCGGAAGCCUGACGCAGCAACGCCACGUGGGGGAUGACGGCCUUCGGGUUGUAAACCUCUUUCGGUCUUGACGAAGGCAUCCCGUUUCGGGGUGUUGACGGUAGGGACAGAAGAAGCACCGGCUAACUACGUGCCAGCAGCCGCGGUAAUACGUAGGGUGCGAGCGUUGUCCGGAGUUACUGGGCGUAAAGAGCUCGUAGGCGGUUUGUCGCGUCGGCCGUGAAAUCCUGCUGCUCAACGGCAGGCUUGCGGUCGAUACGGGCAGACUAGAGUUCGGUAGGGGAGACCGGAAUUCCUGGUGUAGCGGUGAAAUGCGCAGAUAUCAGGAGGAACACCGGUGGCGAAGGCGGGUCUCUGGGCCGAUACUGACGCUGAGGAGCGAAAGCGUGGGGAGCGAACAGGAUUAGAUACCCUGGUAGUCCACGCUGUAAACUUUGGGCGCUAGGUGUGGGGACCGGUUCAGGUUUCCGUGCCGUAGCUAACGCAUUAAGCGCCCCGCCUGGGGAGUACGGCCGCAAGGCUAAAACUCAAAGGAAUUGACGGGGGCCCGCACAAGCGGCGGAGCAUGUGGAUUAAUUCGAUGCAACGCGAAGAACCUUAC
rnacentral:rRNA from 1 species